AUCUGGAGAAUAAGUCUUACGAGGAGCGGCUGAGGGAGCUGGGGUUGUUCAGUCUGGAGAAGAGGAGGCUCGGGGAGACCCUAUGACUCUUUACAGCUCUCAGGAAGGAGGUUGUUGCAAGGUGGAGGUCAGCCUCUUUUUCCAGGUAACAGUGAUGGGAUGAGAAGGAAUGGCCUCAAAUUGCACCAGGGGAAAUUCAUGUUGGAUGUUAGGAAAAAUUUCUUCUCAGAAUGGUGAUGCAUUGGAAUGGGCUGCUCAAGGAGUGCUAGUGUCACCGUGCCUGGAAGUGUCAAGAAACUUGGAGAUGUGGCACUGAGGGACAAUGCGUCAGCAGAUGGGAUAUCUUCUUUAUUGGUUUUACUUGCUGGGAGAAAGCUGCAUGCAAGUUAGCAAGUAUAUCAAAUGUGGUGCAGCAGUCAGUCAGAAGUCACCAUUUUCUUCCAUCUUGCAUUGUUCUAUUGAACAGAAGAAGAGACUGACUUCAUAAAUUGCUGUAUUUCUUGCUGUGCUGUUUUUAUGUCCAAAAUAGUCUCCGUUUUAACAUUAAUCUCUGAAGUGUUUGAGUCCUGUUAGUGAAUCUCAUUGACUACCCUGCUUUUAAACCGCUCUACAUUUGAUCCCUAGAUCAUUCUACCAUCCCUAUCAAUUUGUCUCAUGAAAUUCAGAGAUAAGUGAUAUAGCUGUUUUCCUUAUCAAGUGACAGAUGCCAGUAUCAGCCUUAGCAUCAAAUAUGGGGAUAGUUAUGUUUUGCCUUUUGAGGUAAGACGUUAUUGACGGUUGGCAUUUUUAAUUGGUUUCUUUAUAAUGCAUUAAAUUGCCUGAAUUUACCCAAAUGAGUCAGCAGUAUGCCCUAGCAGACAUGAGGGCAAACUAGAUUUUGGGAUGCUUUGACAGUAAAAAAAAAAGUGAUUCUCCUAUUAUAUGUUGCCUCACCUUGAGUAUUGUGUGAAGUUCUGGGCUCUACAAUAUCAAAAGGAUGGUAAGAUACUUCAGUGCAUCCAGAAGAGGGCAGCAACAAUGGUAGAAGGAUAGGAUAUGAGGGAACGGCCUCAAGUUGUGCCAGGGGAGAUUCGGAUUAGAUACGAAAAGAAUUUCUUCUCAGAAAGAAUGGUGAGGCAUUGGGACAGGUUGCCCAGUUCGGUUGCGUAGUCACCAUCCGUGUGAGUCUUUAAAGAGAGGGUAGAUAUAGUAUUUAGAGACAUGGCUUAGUGGGUAAUGUUGGUGGUAGGUGGAUGGCUGGACUGGGUGAUCUUAGAGAUCUUUUCCAACCUUAAUGAUUUUAUGACUCUAUAGAAGGGCUGGAUGGUGUAUCCUACAGCAAGAAGCUGAAGAUAUGUUGGUUAACUAGUCUGCACAAGAGAAGGCUCACAGGUGACGUUAUUCUCUACAACUCCCUAAUAAGAGGAGGUAGCGACAGAGGUCCUGCUCUCUUUGCCCUGGUAUCCACUGACAGGAUGCACAAGAACAGCACAGAACUAUGCCAGGAGAAGGUCACACUGCACUUUAAGAAAAAAUUCUGUACUGUGAGAGUGGCCAAACACUGGAACAGGCUUCCUAGAAAGGUGACUGAUGUUCCAUGUCUGUCAAUGUUCAAGAAGCAUUUCAAUAACCCCCUUAAUAUACUGCUUUAAUUAAGCAGUUAUGAUGUUGGACUUGAUCUUUGUAAGGUUCUUUCCAAAUUAACUGUUCUAAUUUAUAAAUAUGUAGCCUUCAGUGUUUUCUGAGAGCCAUCAGUUAGCAAGUUCUGUGAAUUUUAACAAUCAAGUCUUUCUUCCCUGUCCUCCUGGUUUUUUGGUUUUUUUUUUUGUUUUGUUUUGUUUUGUUUUUUUGGUUUUUUUUGGUGAAUAUUUGUAGGUAGUCUACGGAAUAGAUGAGGUAUGGGCUUGAUCAAUUUAUCCAUUUCUACAUACAAGGUCCCUCAAAAAUACUACAGUGAUAUAUUUAUAUGAGAAAAGUGCAUAUCUAUUUACAAAAUAAAUACAGGAAAAAAAUUA